rnacentral:misc_RNA from 1 species
UUCUGCAUCGUUUUCUUUCUCCAGCUGUCGGAGACCAACUGGAGAAAGAGAGAGAGGGAGAGAUGGAAGACCAGGAGGAGAAGGUGAAGAAAGCGGCGUUGCAGAUAAUCGGGCAAUUCCAGGACCUGCCUCGCUUGGUUGUCUUCGAUCUCGAUUACACUCUAUGGCCUUUUUACUGUGAGUGCUAUUAUGAAGAUGAUACCCCGUAUCUGUAUCCACACGCUGUAGGCAUAUUAGAAGCGCUGAAGGAAAAGGGAAUUGAGAUGGCUAUUGCUUCUAGAUCGCCUACUUCGCAGAUUGCCAAAUCAUUUCUGACUCAAUUGGGAAUCAACUCCAUGUUUGUGGCUCAGGAAAUUUUCUCCAGCUGGACUAACAAAACUGAGCAUUUUCAGAGGAUCCAUAGGAGGACUGGAUUGCCUUUUAGUUCAAUGCUUUUCUUUGAUGAUGAGGAUCGGAACAUUGAAGCUACAUCAAAAUUUGGUGUAACUAGCACCUUGGUUGGUAAUGGGGUAAAUCUUGGAGCGUUGAGGCAAGGACUAUCAGAAUUUUCCCACAAGUCUGAUUCUUCUAGCAGGAGCAUGAAGAAUUGAACUUUCUGUUAGUUAUAUAAAUAUCAUCUCAUAGUUUUCAAAUCAGGCUGAUUUGUGAAGGAGAUGGCGUUGCUGUGAUGUUUAGAAAUUUACAAGCAAAUUUUAUGUUGCAAGCGUACCACAUUAUUCAUUGAUGAUCAAAUUUUCUUACAAUGUUUAAGGGAAUGUUUGUUUGAGCAUAGAGGUGACAGACAAGUAUGCCUUUGGGUUCAUCUCAUUUGAGUUUGGCUGAUUUUAGGUUAUCUCAGGUCUGGUCUGUUUGCGGGUGUAUUCAAGUCAAAUUAUUUAAGCAUCACCAGCUUUAGCCAA